UAGUUUGUUAUCAAUAUACCAUAGACAGCAACGGCCUAACGGCUUAAUCAGGUUGCCGAGGUAGGAAGAUCAACUUUGAACUUUCAAAACCCGUGCUGUCUUGAGUGCGGGUUUUUAUAUUCAGGU
rfam:Holdemania filiformis DSM 12042 genomic scaffold Scfld0, whole genome shotgun sequence.